GGAGGGGAGGGGGCGGGGCGGACGCCCAGGCCUAGCCCUGGCCGCGUGUGCGCGUCCGCCGCAGCCGGCCUGGUCUGGGGCCAAGCCCCCUGCGCCCGCUGCCUGCCGGCUGGAGCCCAGGGUCCGCGCUGCGUGGGGCCCGGGCGCCGAGGCGGGAGAGACGGGGGUGGCUUAGGGGACCCGCUGCGGCAGGUGGGAGCCAGAAAGCGCUUUCCAGCCGCGCCCGGGGCGGAAGAAUUGCUCUGUGCAAGCUUGUCUCUGUCCGCGACUGCGGUGGGGACGGUAAAAGACACCACCUGCCUCUCCCACCGUGUCGCAGGACGGGCAGGUCCUGAUCUGCUGUCAGUGCCGGGAACCAGAGCUGGGGGUACGAGCUCGCCUCCUCCAGCAAACAUUAAUGCUACCAUGAACUGGACAGAAAGGAGCACAAGCAAGCACAUAACGGCAGCUCUGGCGUGGAGAUAUUCAGAGUUGAAGGAAAAGACCUUGAACUGAAGAGAGAGUAUGCUGGAUACACCAUAUCCUCCUUGGGACUCCCCACUGCUCAGUUGCUCAAAUUAAAAUUUGCUUUUUCAUGGCUCAGAUCCCUUGACUUCAUGGCUGAGAUAUUCAAAACGGAGGCCUCAAAAGAAAUGAGCAGACAGGCUCAUUUUAAACACUACAGAACAGAAUUGCUACUGCGCCCAGCUUCCAGUGGUCAGAGCAGAGUAGCAGGGCUGUCAGGGGUCUGAUUACAGAUUCCCAAAUUCCAUCCCAACCCAGAUUAAAGCAGCAUGGGUGGUAAUCUGGAGACAGAGGAACCACUCUGCUGGCUUUACACUUGCUGCAGAAGACUUCCCCACACAGAGAGAAUCUUCAUCAAGGGACCUGGUGGUUUCCACUUCCUUUGCACCACUGGAAUUGUGCAAGGGUGAAAAUCUGCCUCUGUGGCUAAACAAGGAACACGACUGAAAGUCUAAUGACUAUUUGCGAGUUACAUACAUUGAAGGAACCCUUAUCACAGCAAUUCUAAUAGUCCCCAACAGAUUAUAGAUUAGGGUACAAAGGUAGGAUGCCAUCUUUCCCACUAACUGAACUGAGAACAGAACAUGCUAG